rnacentral:lncRNA from 1 species
UCUCUCAGUUAUUACGCAGACGUGAGUGAUAUCAGAGUUCAGUUUUAUCUAUUGCUCCUUAUUUUUUAUUAUUUAUUUAUUUGAGAUGUGAGUCUCUCUAUGUUGCCUGAACUGGACUUGAACAUUUGGGGUGAAGCAAUCAUCCUGCCUUAGUUUCCCAAAGCACUAGGAUUACAAACAUGAACCACCAGUCCCUUCCUUCUUAUAAAAAAGGCUAGAAAGUCAUUUAAAAAGGAGUUACUCAAUAGACAGCAUUCUCACAGUAACAAUGAACCACCUGCCCCCACCCCAACUUUUUUUCUUUUAUGAAAAGGACUAGAAAGUCAGUUAAAAAGUAGUGACUGGAUAUACAAUGUUCUCAUCGUAACAACUAUGAUAACUAUAUGGGGUAAUGCAUAUGUCAAUUAGCUAGAUCCAGUCAUUCCGAAAUACACACACACACACACACACACACACACACGUAUACAUCUUCUUAGUAUUUAAAAUACAAUAUAUUUAAAAGAGAAUAUAUACUUCAAAACAUUGUGUUGUACAUAAUAUAUACAAUUUUAUCUAUUUUUUUUUCUUCUUUUUUAAACAGUUGGGGUUUUUCUAUGUUGCCUGGAAUGGACUCACACUGUUAGGCUCAAGCUAUCCUCCUGCCUCAGACUCCCUAAUAGCUGGACCUCCAGGAGAAAAGCAUCCCUGAUCAUUUCUAUGGUUGAUUUUAUGGUUGAUUCUAUCCUGUUGAUUUCUAUGGUGUAAAUACUCCUAGCAAAGCCACUUUUAAACUGUCAGCACGGCAUCUUCAAACACCGAGUGGGAAGUAGAUAUGCACCAUACCAUGGGCUCCUAAAAGCGAACGUGAGUCUACUCCAGCAACCACUGAUUUUAACUCACUUUCCAUACUCUUCUACACCUAGAAUAUCUUAUUAGAUCUAGGCACAAAAACUUAAUUCACCUAUGUAAUUUCUAGUUGAUUUUUUUCAAUUUUUUUAAAUUGCAUUUUAGGUUUUGGGGUACAUGUGAAGAACAUGCAAGAUUGUUGCAUAGGUACACAGAUGGCAGUGUGAUGUGCUGCCUUCCUCCCCAUCAC